AGAAAGAUAAGCUAAAUAAGCUAUUUGGUUCAUACCCUACACAUAGAGGUAAAACCCUCUUCUUUUUA
rnacentral:tRNA from 2 species